rnacentral:rRNA from 1 species
GUGCCAGCCGCCGCGGUAAGACGUAGGGGGCCAGCGUUGUUCGGAAUUACUGGGUGUAAAGGGUUCGUAGGCGGUGUGGCAAGUUGGGAGUGAAAUCUCUGGGCUCAACCCAGAGGCUGCUUCCAAAACUGCUGUGCUUGAGUGUGAGAGAGGCUCGUGGAAUUGCAGGUGUAGCGGUGAAAUGCGUAGAUAUCUGCAGGAACACCCGUGGCGAAAGCGGCGAGCUGGAUCACUACUGACGCUGAGGAACGAAAGCUAGGGGAGCAAACAGGAUUAGAAACCCUCGUAGUCC